rnacentral:ribozyme from 1 species
GGUACGAGAAUCCAUGGUGGUAUAGAAGUAAGUAAUUAUUGUAAUUGUCAUUAUGGCAGGAUGGUUUUCUUUUCGCCUUUUUCUGGAGCA